GUUUUUAGUUAUUUUAUUUU
rnacentral:sRNA from 1 species